rnacentral:rRNA from 1 species
UACGGGACGCAGCAGUGGGGAAUAUUGCACAAUGGGCGCAAGCCUGAUGCAGCCAUGCCGCGUGUAUGAAAAAGGCCUUCGGGUUGUAAAGUACUUUCAGUCGUGAGGAAGGUGUUAAGGUUAAUAACCUUAGCAAUUGACGUUAGCGACAGAAGAAGCACCGGCUAACUCCGUGCCAGCAGCCGCGGUAAUACGGAGGGUGCGAGCGUUAAUCGGAAUUACUGGGCGUAAAGGGCACGCAGGCGGUUAAUUAAGUUGGAUGUGAAAUCCCCGGGCUUAACCUGGGAAUGGCAUUCAAGACUGGUUAGCUAGAGUCUUGUAGAGGGGGUAGGAAUUCCAUGUGUAGCGGUGAAAUGCGUAGAGAUGUGGAGGAAUACCGGUGGCGAAGGCGGCCCCUGGACAAAGACUGACGCUCAUGUGCGAAAGCGUGGGGAGCAAACAGGGAUUAGAUACC